rnacentral:rRNA from 1 species
UACGUAGGGUGCAAGCGUUGUCCGGAAUUAUUGGGCGUAAAGAGCUCGUAGGCGGUCUGUCGCGUCGCUGUGAAAACUCGGGGCUCAACCCCGAGCCUGCAGUCGAUACGGGCAGACUAGAGUGCUGUAGGGGAGACUGGAAUUCCUGGUGUAGCGGUGAAAUGCGCAGAUAUCAGGAGGAACACCGAUGGCGAAGGCAGGUCUCUGGGCUGACACUGACGCUCAUGCACGAAAGCGUGGGGAGCAAACAGG